GCGGCUAUGGCGAAGUGGUUAACGCAUCGGAUUGUGGCUCCGACAUCCGUGGGUUCGAUUCCCACUAGUCGCCCCA
rnacentral:tRNA from 1 species